UACGUAGGGCGCAAGCGUUGUCCGGAAUUAUUGGGCGUAAAGAGCUCGUAGGCGGUUUGUCGCGUCUGCUGUGAAAACCUAAGGCUCAACCUUGGGCUUGCAGUGGGUACGGGCAAACUAGAGUGCGGUAGGGGUGACUGGAAUUCCUGGUGUAGCGGUGGAAUGCGCAGAUAUCAGGAGGAACACCGAUGGCGAAGGCAGGUCACUGGGCCGCAACUGACGCUGAGGAGCGAAAGCAUGGGGAGCGAACAGG
rnacentral:rRNA from 1 species